GACGAACGCUGGCGGCGUGCUUAACACAUGCAAGUCGAACGGAAAGGCCCUGCUUUUGUGGGGUGCUCGAGUGGCGAACGGGUGAGUAACACGUGAGUAACCUGCCCUUGACUUUGGGAUAACUUCAGGAAACUGGGGCUAAUACCGGAUAGGAGCUCCUGCUGCAUGGUGGGGGUUGGAAAGUUUCGGCGGUUGGGGAUGGACUCGCGGCUUAUCAGCUUGUUGGUGGGGUAGUGGCUUACCAAGGCUUUGACGGGUAGCCGGCCUGAGAGGGUGACCGGCCACAUUGGGACUGCGAUACGGCCCAGACUCCUACGGGAGGCAGCAGUGGGGAAUAUUGCACAAUGGGCGGAAGCCUGAUGCAGCAACGCCGCGUGCGGGAUGACGGCCUUCGGGUUGUAAACCGCUUUCGCCUGUGACGAAGCGUGAGUGACGGUAAUGGGUAAAGAAGCACCGGCUAACUACGCG
rnacentral:rRNA from 1 species